rnacentral:rRNA from 1 species
GACGAACGCUGGCGGCGUGCCUAAUACAUGCAAGUAGGACGCAGUUGCGAACGGGUGAGUAACGCGUAGGUAACUACCUAUUAGAGGGGGAUAACUAUUGGAAACGAUAGCUAAUACCGCAUACUAGUAGAUGGACCGGCGUUGUAUUAGCUAGUAGGUAGGGUAAUGGCCUACCCAGGCAACGAUAAAUAGCCGACCUUGGGUGGUGAUCGGCCCCGCUGGGACUGGAGCACGGCCCAGACUCCUACGGGAGGCAGCAGUAGGGAAUCUGCGGCGAUGGGGGGAAGCCUGACCGAGCAACGCCGCGUGGGUGAAGAAGGUUUUCGGAUCGUAAAGCUCUGGUGUUAAGGAAGCGGUACUUAACCAGAAAGGGACGGCUAACUACGUGCCAGCCGCCGCGGUAAUUC